GUCUUAAUAAAUAAUUCUUUACAUAUAUCCUCAAAGGCAAUGAAAUGAAAACGAUGACACAAAUACUAACUAGUAAACAUUGUAAAGCCUAUACGGAAUAAGCAAAAGGAAACGCUUGCAUGUAUAAAAAUACGCCAACUACGGUAUUUACGCUUUGCAUGUAUAAAAAAAAUAAUUGCUUCGACAUUAAUAUCACAAAUUAGAAUUUGAAAUUAUCCUAAGAUUCAAUUAUAAGGGCCAAAAUAGUUUUCAUAUGUC
rnacentral:lncRNA from 1 species